GAUGUGGACUGUAAGGCUAUUCUGAUUCCUUUCUCAAGAUGAAGGGGAAUGGAAACAGGGGAAAGAACAUGGUAUGGAGGAAAAAAGGCCCACUAAGUAAUAGUGAGAACAGUCGAGGUUUGGAGAUCUGGACCGCCAUCAGAAACCACCAAAUUCUGUCAGGUUCUGCUGCCAGCUUACUUGAGUCAAGGGAAGAAAAUUCCUUUGUACCUACUGUGUAUGGUAUGCCACGUGUUGCCACAAAAAAGGAGCACUUUAGAGGAGGCAUUUCAGCAGUUGGGAAAGAUGGCACUGCAGAGAAAAGUUGGCCCUCUCAUUUUCCAGUGUGCACAGAACUACAGAGGCAGAACAUAAAUUGGAGAAGGACCAGAAACACAAUUGUCUCUUAUUCAAGAGGGAUCCCCCUUCCAUCACUUGGGUCCUCUCUUUUGCAGGGAGGUAUGAUCUAAAUCUCUGUCAGGUAAAACAUACCUGCCUGUAGCCUUUCGUUUAUCAGCACUGAGGAAUGCAUGCAGUAGUUGAGUGGAGGCAUUUUUGUAUUGACAUGGAAGAGCUCAAGGUUCAAUGCAUGUUUUAACCUUCCCUGUAAUGCCUUGAAGCUACUCAUCAAUUACUGUGGGGUACCUCUAACCACUUUUCCACUGACAGUAAUUUGUGGAUAAUGACAGCUCUUGAAUUGAGAGGGUUAACACUUUUCUGCAUUGUAUCUUCCACCCAUACCCUCACUUCCCCUCCUUUUCCUGUCCUGCUCCACAUACCCUUUUUUCCUUAAGAGUUUUGUGGUUAGGAGGUCACUUUCCAUCUGUGGUUUUCUCAGUCUUAACAUUCACUAAAAAUAAAUAUGCUAUAAUAUUGGGAAAUCUUUUUGGC
rnacentral:lncRNA from 1 species